UACAGAGGUCCCGAGCGUUGUUCGGAUUCACUGGGCGUAAAGGGUGCGUAGGUGGCUUUGCAAGUCUGAUGUGAAAUCUCCGGGCUUAACCCGGAAAUGGCAUUAGAAACUGUGAGGCUUGAGGCUUGGAGGGGGAACUGGAAUUCUCGGUGUAGCAGUGAAAUGCGUAGAGAUCGGGAGGAACACCAGUGGCGAAGGCGAGUUCCUGGACAAGUCCUGACACUGAGGCACGAAAGCCGGGGGAGCAAACAGG
rnacentral:rRNA from 1 species